UUUUUUUUUUUUUCUUUUUUAGAAGGGAAACAAAAGAUGUCAGGAAGAUUAAAGUUUAGGUUUGAAACAAGCCUUUCUAUUAAAUCUCCUGAGGAUUCAAAUUGCUGUUUCCUCAGCUGCAAUAGCAACAUUCAGCUGGAUUUUGGGCGUAACAAGUGAUAUUUUAAGAUUAAAGCACAUUCAUCCUGGCAUCGCUGAGGGACAGCAGGGAUGCAACCUCCACGGCAGCUCUCCAGCCCACAGCAGCAUCCAGGGAUCACUCCCUGCAGGAAUGCUUGCCAUGGUCUUGGAGCACUGCUAAAAACCUGUCCCAGCAGAAGCCCACAGGGAAGGACCUGUCCUGGAGUCAUGGGAAAAGCUCCUGAACAAAACCAAGCCCUGAAUUCUCUGCUGAGCUGGAAGCACAUGCCCAUCCUCGCUGGCUGGGUUUCGAGGCUGCAGCUGAGCAGAUGGACAAGGGAUCCAGUUGGGGUGAAGGUGCUGAGCUCCCCUCUGCUGCCUGAGGAUCCAGUCCUGAGCCCAGGGUGCAACUAAUCUGAACUCCAGAAUCCAUUUCAAGGUAAAAAACAGAGGACUCUCUUCCUUUCAGAGCUUUUCACAGCUUGCAGAAGUUGUUUGUGCUGCUUGCCCCUGACACAGAAAGGCAUGUGGGCAAAAAUGAGCCCUUGCUUCCUCUGAUGCGAAG
rnacentral:lncRNA from 1 species